UACGUAGGGGGCAAGCGUUGUCCGGAAUCAUUGGGCGUAAAGAGCGUGUAGGCGGCCUGGUAAGUCCGCUGUGAAAGUUCAGGGCUCAACUCUGAAUCGGCCGGUGAUACUCUCGUGCUCGAGCACUGUAGAGGCAGGUGGAAUUCCGGGUGUAGCGGUGGAAUGCGUAGAGAUCCGGAAGAACACCGGUGGCGAAGGCGGCCUGCUGGGCAGUAGCUGACGCUGAUGCGCGACAGCGUGGGGAGCAAACAGG
rnacentral:rRNA from 1 species